AGCAGGCGCGCAAAUUACCCAAUCCCGACACGGGGAGGUAGUGACAAUAAAUAACAAUACGGGGUUCUUUAGGAUCUCGUAAUUGGAAUGAGUACAAUUUAAAUCUCUUAACGAGGAACAAUUGGAGGGCAAGUCUGGUGCCAGCAGCCGCGGUAAUUCCAGCUCCAAUAGCGUAUAUUAAAGUUGUUGCAGUUAAAAAGCUCGUAGUUGAAUUUCGGGGUUAGNAGGUUGGUCAUGCCUCUGGUAUGUACUGGUCUCACUGAUUCCUCCUUCCUGAUGAACCGUAAUGCCAUUAAUUUGGUGUUGCGGGGAAUUUGGACUGUUACUUUGAAAAAAUUAGAGUGUUUAAAGCAAGCUAACGCUUGAAUACAUUAGCAUGGAAUAAUGAAAUAGGACGUUCGAUCCUAUUUUGUUGGUUUCUAGGAUUGACGUAAUGAUUAAUAGGGAUAGUUGGGGGCAUUAGUAUUCAAUUGUCAGAGGUGAAAUUCUUGGAUUUAUUGAAGACUAACUACUGCGAAAGCAUUUGCCAAGGAUGUUUUCAUUAAUCAAGAACGAAAGUUAGGGGAUCGAAGACGGUCAGAUACCGUCGUAGUCUUAACCAUAAACUAUGCCGACUAGGGAUCGGAUGAUGUUAAUUUUUUAAUGACUCAUUCGGUGCCUUACGGGAAACCAAAGUGUUUGGGUU
rnacentral:rRNA from 1 species